rnacentral:misc_RNA from 1 species
AAGUCGUAACAAGGUUUCCGUAGGUGAACCUGCGGAAGGAUCAUUAACACGUAUCCAACGUUAAACCCCCCUGUGAACUGCUCUCUUAACUGACGGAAUUGCAAUCCCUGGUAAAUCAUUGUUGAACAGAUUUUGAUUCAGGGACCUCAGUUUGGCAGUUAGGAUUGAGCGAUCGUUGCAAGUGGCCUGUCUGAAAGUGGCAUUGAUUGUGUAAGGAUAACGCUUUUCGAUCACUAGAGGCCGACACCGGCCGGUGACCAGGUCGCCGUGGCUUCGGCCCCCUAUAUUAACCCCACUACCUGAUUCCGCCUCGUAGGAAACUGCUGGGCAACAAAACGAACAACUGUUAACAAUGGAUAUCUUGGUUCUC